rnacentral:rRNA from 1 species
GGGAUGACACAGUAGGAUAAGCUAAGCACACUGUUGGUUAUGUGUGCCCAAGCAUUGAGGCAGUCAAAGUAGGCAAAUCCGCUUUGAUAAUGCUGGGAUGUGAUGGGGAGCGAAAUUUAGUAGCGAAGUAGCUGAUUUCACACUGUCAAGAAAAGUCUCUAUCGAGGUUAAAGGUACCCGUACCGCAAACCGACACAGGUGGGUGAGGAGAGUAUCCUAAGGCUAGCGAGAGAACUGUUGUUAAGGAACUCGGCAAAAUGACCCCGUAACUUAGGGAUAAGGGGUGCCACCAUCAGGUGGCCGCAGAGAAUAGGCCCAAGCGACUGUUUACCAAAAACAUAGGUUUCUGCUAAGUCGCAAGACGAUGUAUAGGAGCUGACGCCUGCCCGGUGCUGGAAGGUUAAGGGGAUCUGUUAGAGCAAUCGAAGCAGUGAACUUAAGCCCCAGUAAACGGCGGCCGUAACUAUAACGGUCCUAAGGUAGCGAAAUUCCUUGUCGGGUAAGUUCCGACCCGCACGAAAGGCGUAACGAUUUGGGCACUGUCUCAACAACAGACUCGGUGAAAUUGUAAUUCCGGUGAAGAUGCCGGAUACCUGCGACAGGACGGAAAGACCCCAUGGAGCUUUACUGUAGCUUGACAUUGGGUCUUGGUACUACAUGUACAGGAUAGGUGGGAGGCUUUGAAACCAGGACGCCAGUUUUGGCGGAGCCAUCCUUGGGAUACCACCCUUGUAGUACUGGGACUCUAACCAUAGGCCAUGAAUCUGGUCUUGGGACACUGUCAGGUGGGCAGUUUGACUGGGGCGGUCGCCUCCCAAAAGGUAACGGAGGCGCUCAAAGGUUCUCUCAGUACGGUCGGAAAUCGUACGUAGAGUGUAAAGGCAAAAGAGAGCUUGAUUGCAAGACAUACAGGUCGAGCAAGGAUGAAAAUCGGACUUAGUGAUCCGGUGGUUCUGCGUGGAAGGGCCAUCGCUCAACGGAUAAAAGCUACCCUGGGGAUAACAGGCUUAUCUCCCCCAAGAGUCCACAUCGACGGGGAGGUUUGGCACCUCGAUGUCGGCUCAUCACAUCCUGGGGCUGUAGUAGGUCCCAAGGGUUGGGCUGUUCGCCCAUUAAAGUGGUACGCGAGCUGGGUUCAGAACGUCGUGAGACAGUUCGGUCCCUAUCCGUCGCAGGCGUAGGAAAUUUGAGAAGACCUGUCCUUAGUACGAGAGGACCGGGAUGGACG